UGUUUGAAUUAUGAUGUUUCAAAGCAAUUCUAAACAGAUGAGUUUUUAGUCUGGAUUUAAAAGAACUCAGUGUUUCAGCUGUUUUGCAGUUUUCUGGCAGUUUGCAUUGUAAACUGUUUUGAUUACAUCUUAAACAUUUAAGUGUUACAAAUAGAAAUCUAAAGAGGGCAAAACACAUUUUCACAGCUGUGCUCCUACUUGCUUCAGGGGCAUUUGGAUAAUGCUUACUCUGUCUACACUACUGCAAAAAAUGUUAAGGAAUAAAUUACUAAAUUAUACCAACAAGCAGCACAUAGUUCACUUAUAACUGGAGAUUUCAAACAUAGUGAGAAACAUCUUACGUUUUAAACACGUCACUAACAAAUGGCUGAAACAAUUCACUAUAUAAUAUUAACAAAAUGAGGCAACACAAUUAUUAUUAAUGUUUCCUUGUAUUUAUACAAUAAAUUUGAUAAAUUACAAAUCUAUAAAUUAUGCGAAUACAAACAAAAUCAGCUAACUUCAUUGGCAAAUAUGUGACGUAGAGAUCAAAGGUAGUACAAGUAAUUUUAAGGUCACAAUCUAGGGUUAUUUGAAAUAUAUAACCCUAAAUUGUCAAAUGUAUGACACUUAAAUACAUUUGAU